rnacentral:rRNA from 1 species
GAUCCAGCCAUGCCGCGUGUGUGAAGAAGGCCCUCGGGUUGUAAAGCACUUUCAGCGAGGAAGAACGCCUAGUGGUUAAUACCCAUUAGGAAAGACAUCACUCGCAGAAGAAGCACCGGCUAACUCCGUGCCAGCAGCCGCGGUAAUACGGAGGGUGCAAGCGUUAAUCGGAAUUACUGGGCGUAAAGCGCGCGUAGGUGGCUUGAUAAGCCGGUUGUGAAAGCCCCGGGCUCAACCUGGGAACGGCAUCCGGAACUGUCAAGCUAGAGUGCAGGAGAGGAAGGUAGAAUUCCCGGUGUAGCGGUGAAAUGCGUAGAGAUCGGGAGGAAUACCAGUGGCGAAGGCGGCCUUCUGGACUGACACUGACACUGAGGUGCGAAAGCGUGGGUAGCAAACAGGAUUAGAUACCCUGGUAGUCCACGCCGUAAACGAUGUCGACCAGCCGUUGGGUGCCUAGCGCACUUUGUGGCGAAGUUAACGCGAUAAGUCGACCGCCUGGGGAGUACGGCCGCAAGGUUAAAACUCAAAUGAAUUGACGGGGGCCCGCACAAGCGGUGGAGCAUGUGGUUUAAUUCGAUGCAACGCGAAGAACCUUACCUACUCUUGACAUCCUGCGAACUUGUGAGAGAUCACUUGGUGCCUUCGGGAACGCAGAGACAGGUGCUGCAUGGCUGUCGUCAGCUCGUGUUGUGAAAUGUUGGGUUAAGUCCCGUAACGAGC